UACGGAGGAUCCGAGCGUUAUCCGGAUUUAUUGGGUUUAAAGGGUGCGCAGGCGGGAGAUUAAGUCGGUGGUGAAAUUUUGCAGCUUAACUGUAACAGUGCCAUUGAUACUGGUUUUCUUGAGUGUGGAUGAAGUAGGCGGAAUUUGUGGUGUAGCGGUGAAAUGCAUAGAUAUCACGAGGAACUCCGAUCGCGUAGGCAGCUUACUAAACCAUAACUGACGCUCAUGCACGAAGGCGUGGGGAUCAAACAGGAUUAGA
rnacentral:rRNA from 1 species